GAUGAACGCUGGCGGCGUGCUUAACACAUGCAAGUCGAACGAUGAUCCCCAGCUUGCUGGGGGGAUUAGUGGCGAACGGGUGAGUAACACGUGAGUAACCUGCCCCCGACUCUGGGAUAAGCCCGGGAAACUGGGUCUAAUACCGGAUAUUCACUUCCUUCCGCAUGGAGGGGGGUGGAAAGGUCUUUUCCGGUCGGGGAUGGACUCGCGGCCUAUCAGCUUGUUGGUGGGGUAGUGGCCCACCAAGGCGACGACGGGUAGCCGGCCUGAGAGGGUGACCGGCCACACUGGGACUGAGACACGGCCCAGACUCCUACGGGAGGCAGCAGUGGGGAAUAUUGCACAAUGGGCGCAAGCCUGAUGCAGCGACGCCGCGUGAGGGAUGACGGCCUUCGGGUUGUAAACCUCUUUCAGUAGGGAAGAAGCGAAAGUGACGGUACCUGCAGAAGAAGCGCCGGCUAACUACGUGCCAGCAGCCGCAGUAAAAC
rnacentral:rRNA from 1 species